rnacentral:tRNA from 1 species
UCGUGCGCCUGGCGCAGGACCGGUGCUGGGGUGAGACGCCCCGGGUGUUGUUCCACGCGCCGCACGCGUUCGACGCGUCCACGUACGAG